rnacentral:lncRNA from 1 species
AACUUUAUUACAUUUGUAGUUGUUCAGCAAUCAUCAAAACCCAAUGUUAUAGCAUUUCCAUCCCAAAUCUCCAGUGCAUCUCCCCACCCCUCAACCCGUCUCAUUUGGAAACCCUAAGUUUUUCAACGUCUGUGAAUCAGUAUCUGUUCUGCAAAGAAGUUCAUUGUGUCCUUUUUUUAGAUUCCACAUGUAAUGAUAGCAUUUGAUGUUGGUGUCUCACUAACUUCAUUUAGCAUAAAAACUUCUAGGUCCAUCCACAUUAAUGCAAAUCCCCUUAUUUCUUUCCUUUUAAUAUUCCAUUCUGUAUAUAUACCACAUCCUCUUGAUGCACUCCUCUGUGGAUGGACAUUUAGGUCAUUUACAUGUCUUGGCUAUUGUAUAUAGUGCUGCAAUGAACAUUGGAGUACAUGUGUCUUUUCAAGUCAUGGUUUUCUCUGGAUAGAUGCCCAGGAGUGGGACUGCUGGAUCAAAAGGUUAUUCUAUUUUUACAUUUCUGAAGAAUCUCCAUAUUUUUUUCCACAGUGGUAGCACCAAUUUACAUUCCCACCAACAGUGUAAUACAGUUCCCUUUUCUCUAGCAUUUAUUGUUUGUAGACUUUUUGAUGAUGGCCAUUCUAGCUGGUGUAAGAUGGUACCUCAUAGUGGUUUUAAUUUGCAUUUCUCUAAUAAUUAGUGAUGUUGAACAUCUUUUCAUGUGCUUUUUGGCCAUCUGUAUGUCUUCUUUGGAGAACUGUCUGUUUAGAUCUUCUGCUCAUUUUUGAUGGGGUUGUUUGUUUUUUUGGUAUUGAGCAGUAGGAGGUAUUUAUAAAUUUUGAAGAGUAAUCCCUUGUCAUUCACUUCAUUUGCAAAUAUUUUCUCCCAUUUCAUGAGCUUUUUGUUUUUAGGGUUUUCUUUGCUGUGCAGAAACUUUUAAGUUUAAUUAAGUCCCAUUUGUUUAUUUUUGUUUUUAUUGUCACUACUCUAGGAUCUCAGACGAUAUUGCUGUGGUUGUGUAUGGUGUUAGAAGUGUUCUAGUUUCACUCUUUUACAUGUGGCUGUCCAGUUGUCCCAGCACCACUUAUUGAAGGGACUGUCUUUUCUCCACUGUUUAUUCUUGCCUCCUUUGUCAUAGAUUAGUAGACGGUGGGUGUGUGGGUUUAAUUCCAGGCUUUCUAUCCUGUUCCACUG